AUUGAACGCUGGCGGCAGGCCUAACACAUGCAAGUCGAACGAGUGGCGGACGGGUGAGCACUGUCUGGGAAACUGUCUGAUGGAGGGGGAUAACUACUGGAAACGGUAGCUAAUACCGCCUACCCUCGGAUGUGCCCAGAUGGGAUUAGCUAGUCGGUGGGGUAAAGGCUCAGCUAGGCUUCGAUCCCUAGCUGGUCUGAGAGGAUGACCAGCAACACUGGAACUGAGACACGGUCCAGACUCCUACGGGAGGCAGCAGUGGGGAAUAUUGCACAAUGGGCGAAAGCCUGAUGCAGCCAUGCCGCGUGUAUGAAGAAGGCCUUCGGGUUGUAAAGUACUUUCAGCGGGGAGGCGUUACCCGCAGAAGAAGCAACGGCUAACUCCGUGCCAGCAGCCGCGGUAAUUC
rnacentral:rRNA from 1 species